GACGAACGCUGGCGGCGCGCCUAACACAUGCCAGUCGAACGAGCGAGAGGAGGUUUACUUUCUCAAGCGAGUGGCGAACGGGUGAGUAACGCGUGAGGAACCUGCCUCAAAGAGGGGGACAACAGUUGGAAACGACUGCUAAUACCGCAUAAGCCCACGACCCGGCAUCGGGUAGAGGGAAAAGGAGCAAUCCGCUUUGAGAUGGCCUCGCGUCCGAUUAGCUAGUUGGUGAGGUAAUGGCCCACCAAGGCGACGAUCGGUAGCCGGACUGAGAGGUUGAACGGCCACAUUGGGACUGAGACACGGCCCAGACUCCUACGGGAGGCAGCAGUGGGGAAUAUUGCACAAUGGGGGAAACCCUGAUGCAGCGACGCCGCGUGGAGGAAGAAGGUCUUCGGAUUGUAAACUCCUGUUGUGGAGGAAGAUAAUGACGGUACUCAACAAGGAAGUGACGGCUAACUACGUG
rnacentral:rRNA from 1 species